rnacentral:rRNA from 1 species
UACGUAGGGGGCAAGCGUUGUCCGGAAUCAUUGGGCGUAAAGGGUGCGUAGGCGGCGCGGUAAGUCGGGUGUGAAAUCUUGGAGCUUAACUCCGAAACUGCAUUCGAUACUGCGGUGCUUGAGGACUGGAGAGGAGACUGGAAUUUACGGUGUAGCAGUGAAAUGCGUAGAUAUCGUAAGGAAGACCAGUGGCGAAGGCGGGUCUCUGGACAGUUCCUGACACUGAGACACGAAGGCCAGGGGAGCAAACGGG